ensembl:lncRNA
AGGAAGCGUGCUGAGGUGGGAACCCACAAGCAAUGGUUUAUCUGUGGAUCCAAUCAUAAAUAUUUGGUGUCUGCUGAAGUUGACUCUAAUUCAUGUCUUGCUGCAGGGUCGAUGCCAAAGAACUUCAAGGGCAUCAUGUGAUCACUGCCAUGGCUGUUGCUGAGGCCAGAAGAACCUACUGUGAGCCCAACUGGAAAUGCACCAUUCUUCUGACUUUCUGAAGCCUUCAUCUUAUCUUUCAUGUCCGGGCUCAGCCCAGAGGCAUACGCUUUGUCUGUAUGAGUAAGUGCUGAAUUGCAUGGGCUAUUUUUGAGGUAUGGGCAUCUGAGAAAGCAUUCUGCUUUUCCACUUCUCAGAAACAUGCUAUAAAGCUUUUAUGUUGCAGUUGCUGAUGUAUCAGGAAGACGCCCUGGGGCAGACACUUCCAGCUUGUAGUCACUCGUCUUCUGGAAGAACUCACAUGAUAAUAUUUUGCCAUUUUGAAAGUGAUAGACUUUGGCUAGUUUGAAAGAUGUGAAUAGCUGGAAAUGAAAGCAGACCCACGCCGUAUGAACAUCUGAUGAAAAUGUUAAUUGUGACUGAAGGAAUUAGUGUAUACUGUCCCUGUCUGGUGAUAAAUAUCCCUGUACAAUUCAAGGGGUUCUCAUCAGUGCUUAUCAAUAUCUAAUGGACAGGAGUCAAGUGGGCUGCCAUAGGGAACCUCCAUUGGAGGCAGGUUGCACUGGAGCAUCUCCAGAGGUCCCUUCCAGCCCCUAUGAUUGUGUGAUUCUGUAAAACUCACAACUUGCUUACAUGUGCUUAGGAUUAGAAGGAUCUGAAUGCUGUUGCCUCUUUGAAAAACAGGAAAGUUGCUCACGAGGUGCUGCUGGUGGCUCCUACUCAUUGCAGCAGUUCUCAGGACAGGGUUUACAGUUUUGCUCAUUUCAAUAGGCAGUGGUUUCUGUGGGAGCUAUAGCAUCAGUAUUGAACUCCUUGAGACCACAACCAGUGUUCAUAUAGCACAGCUGGAUUUGUGAAUUGUCUUCAGCAAAGGGAGAGCUGGGCAGGCUGAGGGGAUGGGUGCUUCCUUUGAAGAAUGUGUUUUGUUUGGAGAAUUAAAAUGCAGGGUAAAGAGACAAUAUGAGCAAAGGAAAUCCAAAGAGGAGAGCCUUUUGAAAAUGUGGCUCUGGCUGGAGGGAAUACAGGCGUCCAUGCCCCUGGCAUACACAUUGAGCAGCAGUUUGCUUUUCAGUUCAAGACCUGUGCAUGUAAGCUGGAAAUGAUGUAAAAGAAACGGACUGUACAUAGCAGCACAUCCUUCUCCUGUGCUGAGCUACUUCACCCAACAGGACUGGACCUUUUAGCCUCUGCUUUUUGGUCUAGUAUACAAAUCUUCCCCUGCCAAUGGCUAUGGCUGUACACUGAGAGAUGCCAGCAGGAGCAGGGAUAUUUGCCAGUGCUACUGACGCCUAAAUUAAAAGGAAUAGCAGGAGGCAUUCAUUCUGGAAUUGCUUAUUUUGUCAGAUUGUUUUGCAAUGACUGUACUAUGCACAUAGUUAUUAAUAGUCUAAUGACAUCUCCACCUUCUGCUUCUCUCUCUUUGCAAUAGCGCAUAAUUGAAUGCCAAAGCCUUAACUUUCCUAAGAGGUAAUUGCAUACUUGCACAGGACUUUGGCUGGAUUUAUGUUACACACAGUUCUCUCGCUCUGGAGGGUGACAGAAUGUUUUUUUGUAAGCCAGGCUGUUGAUAAAUUGUCCCCCUACUGUCCCACACAACAUCUGCACUUCAUCUGAGCAGCUGCUGUAGUGCUAAACCACCACCUUCUGCAUUUGAUGGUCCCCAGGUAUCCUCUCCCUAGUCGCUGUGCUCCUCCUACCUUGGACCUGAGAAACAGUGUCAGGAAGCAAAGUGUGAUGGAGGAUGGGCACAGCAGCGCUCUGAGGAUGAUGAAUCAUGUCUGAGGACAUGGAACCACAUACAGAAGUUUCACUUUAGUUUCACUCGUUAUGUUUCUUGCAUACAAACACUUCUGCAGCAGCAUCCCUUAUAUUGUUGCAUGUGGGUCCAAGGAGGCCGGUCACAAGCAGAACUCACAGACGUCGUUUUCCUCAUACAGGGAAUUCUUCUAUCCUAUCUCUGUCAAAUUCAAGUUGGUCAGAAGGGUAGGCUGUGGUUGGCCAAUAAUAUCUGGGGCUAGUCAUACAUCCUGCAUGCCAUUGUGCCUCUUGGAGAAGUGAGUGGAGAGGGAUAUCCUAUUCUGUGAAAGAAGUAGUAAAAAGUGGUAAAAUGCUGCGUUCCACUGAAU